CCUACGGGUGGCAGCAGUGAGGAAUAUUGGUCAAUGGACGAGAGUCUGAACCAGCCAAGUAGCGUGAAGGAUGACUGCCCUAUGGGUUGUAAACUUCUUUUAUAUGGGAAUAAAAUGUUCCACGUGUGGGAUUUUGUAUGUACCAUAUGAAUAAGGAUCGGCUAACUCCGUGCCAGCAGCCGCGGUAAUACGGAGGAUCCGAGCGUUAUCCGGAUUUAUUGGGUUUAAAGGGAGCGUAGGUGGAUUGUUAAGUCAGUUGGGAAAGUUUGCGGCUCAACCAUAAAAUUGCAGUUGAAACUGGCAGUCUUGAGUACAGUAGAGGUGGGCGGAAUUCGUGGUGUAGCGGUGAAAUGCUUAGAUAUCACGAAGAACUCCGAUGGCGAAGGCAGCUCACUGGACUGCAACUGACACUGAGGCUCGAAAGUGUGGGUAUCAAACAGGAUUAGAUACCCCAGUAGUC
rnacentral:rRNA from 1 species